UGGGGAAUUUUGGACAAUGGGCGAAAGCCUGAUCCAGCAAUGCCGCGUGUGUGAAGAAGGCCUUCGGGUUGUAAAGCACUUUUGUCCGGAAAGAAAUCCUUGGCUCUAAUACAGUCGGGGGAUACGGUACCGGAAGAAUAAGCACCGGCUAACUACGUGCCAGCAGCCGCGGUAAUACGUAGGGUGCAAGCGUUAAUCGGAAUUACUGGGCGUAAAGCGUGCGCAGGCGGUUUGCUAAGACCGAUGUGAAAUCCCCGGGCUCAACCUGGGAACUGCAUUGGUGACUGGCAGGCUAGAGUAUGGCAGAGGGGGGUAGAAUUCCACGUGUAGCAGUGAAAUGCGUAGAGAUGUGGAGGAAUACGAUGGCGAAGGCAGCCCCCUGGGCCAAUACUGACGCUCAUGCACGAAAGCGUGGGGAGCAAACAGGAUUAGAUACCCU
rnacentral:rRNA from 1 species